UAACGCGAAGAACCUUACCAAGGCUUGACAUACACCGGAAACGUCUGGAGACAGGCGCCCCCUUGUGGUUGGUGUACAGGUGGUGCAUGGCUGUCGUCAGCUCGUGUCGUGAGAUGUUGGGUUAAGUCCCGCAACGAGCGCAACCCUUGUUCUGUGUUGCCAGCAUGCCCUUCGGGGUGAUGGGGACUCACAGGAGACUGCCGGGGUCAACUCGGAGGAAGGUGGGGACGACGUCAAGUCAUCAUGCCCCUUAUGUCUUGGGCUGCACACGUGCUACAAUGGCCGGUACAAUGAGCUGCGAUACCGCGAGGUGGAGCGAAUCUCAAAAAGCCGGUCUCAGUUCGGAUUGGGGUCUGCAACUCGACCCCAUGAAGUCGGAGUUGCUAGUAAUCGCAGAUCAGCAUUGCUGCGGUGAAUACGUUCCCGGGUCUUGUACACACCGA
rnacentral:rRNA from 1 species